rnacentral:rRNA from 1 species
GACGAACGCUGGCGGCGUGCUUAACACAUGCAAGUCGAACGGAAAGGCCCUGCUUUUGUGGGGUGCUCGAGUGGCGAACGGGUGAGUAACACGUGAGUAACCUGCCCUUGACUUUGGGAUAACUUCAGGAAACUGGGGCUAAUACCGGAUAGGAGCUCCUGAUGCAUGGUGGGGGUUGGAGAGUUUCGGCGGUUGGGGAUGGACUCGCGGCGUAUCAGCUUGUUGGUGGGGUAGUGGCUUACCAAGGCUUUGACGGGUAGCCGGCCUGAGAGGGUGACCGGCGACAUUGGGACUGAGAUACGGCCCAGACUCCUACGGGAGGCAGCAGUGGGGAAUAUUGCGCAAUGGGCGGAAGCCUGAUGCAGCAACGCCGCGUGCGGGAUGACGGCCUUCGGGUUGUAAACCGCUUUCGCCUGUGACGAAGCGUGAGUGACGGUAAUGGGUAAAGAAGCACCGGCUAACUACGUG